rnacentral:rRNA from 1 species
CAGGAUGAACGCUAGCGACAGGCCUAACACAUGCAAGUCGAGGGGCAGCACAAGGAGCAAUCUGAGGUGGCGACCGGCGCACGGGUGAGUAACACGUAUGCAACCUGCCUGUAAGCGGGGAAUAACCCGUUGAAAGACGGACUAAUACCGCAUAAUACUAAAUUACUGCAUGGUAAUUUAUUUAAACAUUUAUGGCUUACAGAUGGGCAUGCGCAUGAUUAGCUAGUUGGAGAGGUAACGGCUCCCCAAGGCAACGAUCAUUAGGGGUUCUGAGAGGAAGGUCCCCCACACUGGUACUGAGACACGGACCAGACUCCUACGGGAGGCAGCAGUGAGGAAUAUUGGUCAAUGGACGAGAGUCUGAACCAGCCAAGUCGCGUGCAGGAAGAAUGUUCCCUAUGGAUUGUAAACUGCUUUUGCAGGGGAAUAAAGUGCAUCACGUGUGAUGUUUUGUAUGUACUCUGCGAAUAAGGAUCGGCUAACUCCGUGCCAGCCGCCGC